GGCCCCGUCAUCUAGCGGUUAGGAUAUCGCCCUUUCAAGGCGAGUACAGGGGUUCGAUUCCCCUCGGGGUCACCA
rnacentral:tRNA from 1 species